UGGGGAAUAUUGCGCAAUGGGCGAAAGCCUGACGCAGCCAAUCCGCGUGGGUGAUGAAGGCCUUCGGGUUGUAAAGCCCUGUCGUAGGGGACGAAUCAAUGACGGUACCCUACAAGAAAGCACCGGCUAACCCCGUGCCAGCAGCCGCGGUAAUACGGGGGUGCAAGCGUUGCUCGGAAUCACUGGGCGUAAAGCGUCCGCAGGCGGACCGAACAGUCGGUGGUGAAAGCCCAGGGCUCAACCCUGGAAC
rnacentral:rRNA from 1 species